rnacentral:rRNA from 1 species
ACUGGAACUGAGACACGGUCCAGACUCCUACGGGAGGCAGCAGUGGGGAAUAUUGCACAAUGGAGGAAACUCUGAUGCAGCAAUGCCGCGUGAAGGAUGACGGUUUUCGGAUUGUAAACUUCUUUUAUAUACCAAGAUAAUGACGGUAGUAUAUGAAUAAGCACCGGCUAACUCCGUGCCAGCAGCCGCGGUAAUACGGAGGGUGCAAGCGUUACUCGGAAUCACUGGGCGUAAAGGGUACGUAGGUGUUCUAAUAAGUUGGAUGUGAAAUCCUAUGGCUUAACCAUAGAAGUGCAUUCAAAACUGUUAGAAUAGAGUUUGGGAGGGGUAAGUGGAAUUAGUGGUGUAGGGGUAAAAUCCGUAGAUAUCACUAGGAAUACCAAAAGCGAAGGCGACUUACUGGAACAAUACUGACACUGAGGUACGAAAGCGUGGGGAGCAAACAGGAUUAGAUACCCUGGUAGUCCACGCCCUAAACGAUGAAUGCUAAUCGUUGUGAGGCUUUGACCUUGCAGUGAUGCAGUUAACACAUUAAGCAUUCCGCCUGGGGAGUACGGUCGCAAGAUUAAAACUCAAAGAAAUAGACGGGGACCCGCACAAGCGGUGGAGCAUGUGGUUUAAUUCGACUAUACGCGAAGAACCUUACCUAGCCUUGACAUUGAUAGAAUCUUAUAGAAAUAUAGGAGUGCCUUUCGGGGAACUUGAAAACAGGUGCUGCACGGCUGUCGUCAGCUCGUGUCGUGAGAUGUUGGGUUAAGUCCCGCAACGAGCGCAACCCUUAUCUUUAGUUACUAACGGUUCGGCCGAGGACUCUAAAGAGACUGCCCUCGCAAGGGGGAGGAAGGUGAGGACGACGUCAAGUCAUCAUGGCCCUUACGGCUAGGGCUACACACGUGCUACAAUGGGGUGUUACAAUGAGAUGCAAUGUCGCGAGGCGGAGCAAAACUAUAAAGCACCUCCCAGUUCGGAUUGGAGUCUGCAACUCGACUCCAUGAAGUUGGAAUCGCUAGUAAUCGCGAAUCAGCCAUGUCGCGGUGAAUACGUUCCCGGGUCUUGUACUCACCGCCCGUCACACCAUGGGAGUUGAAUUCACCUGAAGUCGGAAUACUAAAUUAGUUACCGCCCACGGUGGGUUCAGCGACUGGGGUGAAGUCGUAACAAGGUAACCGUAGGAGAACCUGCGGUUGGAUCACCUCCUUUCAGAG